rnacentral:rRNA from 1 species
GCGAGUGAACAGGGAGAAGCCCAGCACCGAAGCCUGUGACCAUUUGGUUACUAGGCAAUGUGGUGUUUAGGUCGUUCCUUGAGGGCGCUGCCACACUCCAAGUCCAGUAAUGAGUACGGUAAUAUUGACUUGGCCCAAAGAGGGUGAAAGGCCCGUAGGAGUGUGGUCGCAGAAAUGUCAGUGCCUUUCUGGAUAGACCUUGGAGUCGGGUUGUUUGUGAAUGCAGCCCAAAGUGGGUGGUAAACUCCAUCCAAGGCUAAAUACUAACACGAGUCCGAUAGCGAACAAGUACCGUGAGGGAAAGUUGAAAAGUACUUUGAAGAGAGAGUAAACAGUGCGUGAAACCGCUCAGAGGUAAACGGGUGGAGUUGAACUGUGAUCCCUGUGGAUUUAGCUGGUGAGUAUGGAUUGAGCUUGGUUAAAUUGGUUGCAUUUCGGAAUCUGCUUAGCCGCAGGUCCUUACCUUCUGGUGGGGAUGCGCGAUGCACUUAUCAAGUGUUGUGCGUUCCGUUUGUAGCGCCUGCUCGCCAGUGCACUUUCGCAGGGUGUUCACCACGACCGGCAUUGCUGUCUGACUGAUGUGGUUAAACCGGCUUUUCGUUGUUCAUGUGACUUUGGAUUGUCGGGAUGGCAGGUAGCUCUUUUGUGGGGCCUUCAGAUUUCUGUAGGAUCCUGCUUUAGGGUGUUAUCAGCCGACCGCGUCGGUUCUGUGCAGUGUGUCGGAGACGGCGGCUUGUGGUACAUGCGUGCGUGCUAGUUGGUUGGCAGAUCUGGGUUUGGUUAUUAUGUUGCUUGUGAUUACAGGCCUGAUGAUAGCCCGGAUUUGUUUGGCCGGCAGUUGCGUGCGUAGUGC